rnacentral:lncRNA from 1 species
CAAGAGUCAAGAUGAAGGUGAGAAGGACAAAACAAAAGAGUAGAGGUGAGAGUUAAUCCCUACAGGUCCCAAGGCAAGGAAGAAGUACUUUGUCUCUGGCUGAGAUCUUCUUUAGACUUGCUUCCAUAGGAUAUGAUGGAAUUAAAUAAGGAUGUAAUUCUGAGCUUCGUGGUCAAGGCACUGGUUUGACAUAAUAAAGGAAUUUAAUGCAUGUGAUCUAAAGACAGGUGCCAUUUCCCCUCUCCGGUGGAUCGUUGCUUCUGUACUUGGUGUGCAUGUAGCGUCCCCUAGUGAAAUACCAUCUCUCUUCCCCUGCCCCUGGCUCCCCCAGCA